rnacentral:rRNA from 1 species
CCCUUAGAUGUCCUGGGCUGCACGCGCGCUACACUGAUGUGUCCAGUAAGCACCUAACCUCUUCCGAAAGGAACGGGUAACCUUUGCAAAGCACAUCGUGAUGGGGAUAGAUUAUUGCAAUUAUUAGUCUUGAACGAGGAAUUCCUAGUAAGCACAAGUCAUCAGCUUGUGUUGAUUACGUCCCUGCCCUUUGUACACACCGCCCGUCGCUCCUACCGAUUGAAUGUUCCGGUGAGCUCUUCGGACUGCUCGGUCUGCAGUUUCUGCGUUCCGUGCGGAAAGUUGCGCAAACCUUAACAUUUAGAGGAAGGAGAAGUCGUAACA